CGUAACUAUAACGGUCCUAAGGUAGCGAAAUUCCUUGUCGGGUAAGUUCCGACCUGCACGAAUGGCGUAAUGAUGGCCAGGCUGUCUCCACCCGAGACUCAGUGAAAUUGAACUCGCUGUGAAGAUGCAGUGUACCCGCGGCAAGACGGAAAGACCCCGUGAACCUUUACUAUAGCUUGACACUGAACACUGGUCCUUGAUGUGUAGGAUAGGUGGGAGGCUUUGAAGUGUGGACGCCAGUCUGCAUGGAGCCAUCCUUGAAAUACCACCCUUUAAUGUUUGAUGUUCUAACGUUGGCCCGUAAUCCGGGUUGCGGACAGUGUCUGGUGGGUAGUUUGACUGGGGCGGUCUCCUCCUAAAGAGUAACGGAGGAGCACGAAGGUUGGCUAAUCCUGGUCGGACAUCAGGAGGUUAGUGCAAUGGCAUAAGCCAGCUUGACUGCGAGCGUGACGGCGCGAGCAGGUGCGAAAGCAGGUCAUAGUGAUCCGGUGGUUCUGAAUGGAAGGGCCAUCGCUCAACGGAUAAAAGGUACUCCGGGGAUAACAGGCUGAUACCGCCCAAGAGUUCAUAUCGACGGCGGUGUUUGGCACCUCGAUGUCGGCUCAUCACAUCCUGGGGCUGAAGUAGGUCCCAAGGGUAUGGCUGUUCGCCAUUUAAAGUGGUACGCGAGCUGGGUUUAGAACGUCGUGAGACAGUUCGGUCCCUAUCUGCCGUGGGCGCUGGAGAAUUGAGGGGGGCUGCUCCUAGUACGAGAGGACCGGAGUGGACGCAUCACUGGUGUUCGGGUUGUCAUGCCAAUGGCAUUGCCCGGUAGCUAAAUGCGGAAGAGAUAAGUGCUGAAAGCAUCUAAGCACGAAACUUGCCCCGAGAUGAGUUCUCCCUGACUCCUUGAGAGUCCUGAAGGAACGUUGAAGACGACGACGUUGAUAGGCCGGGUGUGUAAGCGCAGCGAUGCGUUGAGCUAACCGGUACUAAUGAACCGUGAGGCUUAACCUU
rnacentral:rRNA from 1 species